rnacentral:rRNA from 1 species
UACGUAGGGGGCAAGCGUUGUCCGGAUUUAUUGGGCGUAAAGCGCGUGUAGGCGGCCAGAUAGGUCUGCUGUGAAAACUCGAGGCUCAACCUCGAGCUGUCGGCGGAAACCAUCUGGCUAGAGUCCGGAAGAGGAGAGUGGAAUUCCUGGUGUAGCGGUGAAAUGCGCAGAUAUCAGGAGGAACACCGGUGGCGAAGGCAGCUCGCUGGGACGGUAUUGACGCUGAGACGCGAAAGCGUGGGGAGCGAACAGG